rnacentral:rRNA from 1 species
CACGUAGUUAGCCGUGGCUUUCUCAUAAGGUACCGUCAAUUGAUAGUCAUUUCCUCCUAUCACCUUUCUUCCCUUAUAGCAGAAUUUUACAACCCGAAGGCCUUCUUCAUUCACGCGGCGUUGCUCGGUCAGGCUUUCGCCCAUUGCCGAAGAUUCCCUACUGCUGCCUCCCGUAGGAGUCUGGGCCGUGUCUCAGUCCCAGUGUGGCCGUUCACCCUCUCAGGUCGGCUACGCAUCGUCGCCUUGGUAGGCCUUUACCCCACCAACUAGCUAAUGCGCCGCAGGCUCAUCCAUCAGUGAUGCCAGAAGCAUCUUUAAACUUUCGUCCUAUCCGGUAUUAGCGAUCGUUUCCAAUCGUUGUCCCCGUCUGAUGGGCAGAUCACCUACGUGUUACUCACCCGUUCGCCGCUUCCCACCGAAGUGGUUCGCUCGACUUGCAUGUAUUAGGCACGCCGCCAGCGUUCAUCCUGAGCCAGGAUCAAACUCU